rnacentral:rRNA from 1 species
GACGUAGGGGGCGAGCGUUGUCCGGAGUUACUGGGCGUAAAGAGCGCGCAGGCGGUCGUUCAAGUCGCGUGUGAAAGCCCCCGGCUCAACUGGGGAGGGUCACGCGAUACUGAUCGACUCGAAGGCAGGAGAGGGAAGUGGAAUUCCCGGUGUAGUGGUGAAAUGCGUAGAUAUCGGGAGGAACACCAGUGGCGAAGGCGACUUCCUGGCCUGUUCUUGACGCUGAGGCGCGAAAGCUAGGGGAGCAAACGGG